AAUAAAUCUUAAAAAAAAAAAAAAUUUUAAGGCAGUAUUUUUAUUCCAUUUUCAUAUUAUUCAACGACAAAACAAGACUCAGAAUUAAAACUUUUUCCACAAGGAAGAAACAGUAAUAUCCAC
rfam:Oryctolagus cuniculus cont2.61187, whole genome shotgun sequence.